GGGCCCGCACAAGCGGUGGAGCAUGUGGUUUAAUUCGAUGAUACGCGAGGAACCUUACCAGGGCUUAAAUGUAGUCUGACAGGGGUGGAAACACCCCUCCUUCGGGCAGAUUACAAGGUGCUGCAUGGUUGUCGUCAGCUCGUGCCGUGAGGUGUCAGGUUAAGUCCUAUAACGAGCGCAACCCCUAUCGUUAGUUGCCAUCAAGUAAAGUUGGGAACUCUAGCGAAACUGCCGGUGCAAACCGAGAGGAAGGUGGGGAUGACGUCAAAUCAUCAUGCCCCUUAUGUCCAGGGCUGCACGCAUGCUACAAUGGCAAGUACAACGAGUCGCAAUACCGCGAGGUGGAGCA
rnacentral:rRNA from 1 species